rnacentral:sRNA from 1 species
UCUCUUUAGCUACAACCUAAGGUGGUUCUUGAAAGUCAAAGUUGAGAAAUUUGAAGAAUCUAUGAAAAUCUCAAUAAUCCCCACAGAAACGGCUUGUUAAGUGAUUUGAACCCAAUGGUUAAUCUGAGAUCGGGUGGAACGCCUGAUUUGACGAAGGACUAUGUGACGACGCGUAGAAGAAGAAAUCCCCAAACGCCCGAGGCACAACAGGGAUUGAGCACAGGUUUGCCAACGCCUGCAACCAACAAGGUGAUUGCCCCAGGGGCAUUUGAACCUGACAACACGAUCGAAGAAUCGAACGAGUCGAAUAUCAAAUACGAAGACCUGGUUAACAGCAAUGAGAUGUCAGAUAACGCGGGUGGCCCUAGUAGUCAUGUUGAUGUGAGUGAAGGAACUCGCAUGAGGUUGGAGAUCGCGAGACUGCAGCAUGAAGUCCAACAGAUGAAAGCAAGUAGGAGUGAACCCUCUGCUAGUGAUGAGAACAUUAGUGCAGAUCUGGCAAACUACCUGCAGAGAAAAGGCAGAAUGUCUGCUAUUGUGAAGAUUCUUAAUGAGUUCUGUGAUCAAGUGAGACCCAUAAGGGAGCCAGUUGUACUGACUGGAUAUGAAAACUACUCAAUGUGGAAGAAAGAGAUCCUCCUCGCAGCGAGGCAAUCUCAUACAAUUGAUAUUAUAGAUGAGAGGCAACUUGGACCCAAAGAGGAUGCCAGCACUGAUAUGCAACGAUUUUGGAAAGAAUGCAAUAUGUGGCUGUAUAACUACAUGUGGUUCGCAAUCACUCCACAAGCAAGAUCUUAUUUUAUUACACUCAAGGAACUAUCUGCCUAUGCUCUGUGGACAGCUAUAGAAGAUAUCUUUGCUGGGCGGCCUGACAGCAAUGCCAACGAUGCCAGCAAUGCCAACGAUGCCAGCAAUGCCAACGAUGCCAGCAAUGCCAACGAUGCCAACGAUGAUAUUGGUGAUGAUAUCAGCGAUGCCAGUGAUGAUAGUGGCUACGACAGUGUGGAUAUUGAUAUGGAUUCCAAGAUGGAAUGUUUGGAUGAAUUGAUGGAGGACAAUCCUACAAGUGAUAACAAUCCUACAAGCGAUGAUGGUAUGGGCGAUGAUGACCUCGAUGUCGAUAGUGACCAUGAUAUGGAUAAAGGGGGUGAUGAGCACCCUAUCAAUACAAUUGUGCGAAGAGUGAUCUAUGGGAAAGGAUGGGUGAAAGAUGGGGCAGUCCCUACCAUAAAGAACAUGGAUAUGCCUGUGAAGAGUGGAUUGUCAAAUACAACUUGGCUUGGUUUGAUGAUAAGUCAUAUGGAACGACCUUGUUGGAAGGAAAAGAAUUGGGUUAAAGGAAAUUGGCAAAGAAGAUUGAAGGUAAUGAUGGUACAGCAGAUUAUGGAAUUUUGCUUGUGUUAUCCUGUUUUUUACGGUUAUUGCCGUACGGGCGCCUAUUCCCAAAGAGGAAAUCAGGGUCCGAUUCUUGUAAUUAAUUAUUAUUGCGUUUUUAGAAGAAUUGAGCGAGGGGGGGUCCCCGGGCGGCAGAGCUUUGGCGGCGCCGUAGCACGGGGGGGUGUUAGUGGGUACUACGGCUACCCUAUCACGUGCCCCCCAACAUAUUGUGUUGCUCUCGCGU